CUGGGAUGGAGUGGCUUCAAAGAUGGCGGCGGAGUUAUCGUUCCAGGUUAUUUACAGUUCACUGCUUUGACAUCCCCCUGAUUUUCGCAAAAAUAUUUUAGCUUUUUGUUUUGGAGUUUGCCUUGGUGUUCGCCUUCUCUUCGACAUUUUAACAUUUGUUUCAAGUUGCACAAGUGGCAAGAAUCAUACUGGCUAGUGAAAGACAGGGAACGAAUAUUCAAACCUCACGGAAAUUUUGGAAAAACGUUAUUUGUAAGUAACGGUAAAAAUAUACUGUUUAUAUGUUCAAUAUUAAUUUGUGCUAGAGUAGCUAGCCGCUAGGUCAAAACAAAGCGAAAUAAACAGUCUAUUUGUACUGUGUAGUGGACAAUUUUAGCAACUGGUGUAUGCAAUUAGGUUGCCCAAACUAUAUUAAUACGAGAAACAGUCUUCCUCGAAAGAAAAUGGUUGAAAUUUCAGAUUUUAGUUUCAUUUGUUAUUUCAAAUAAUUUUUACGAUAUAAAAUGCCAGUUGACCACCAUCUGCUUCAUGAUACUACUUAGUAAAAUUAAAGUGCUUUCUAUUUAUAUUAGUAUAGCUAUAGAGGAAGACCUUUUUAUUAAAGCCAGAACUAUCAUGGCUUUGAAUGUUUUCAAUCCAUGUACUAAUAAUACUGGCCACUGAUGGCAAUCAGGCAAUGAAAUUAUGUGUAGAAUUAUCAAGUCUAUCAAGAUCCAAAAGUUGGCAGUUCAAUUCUACCAACUUCUGUUGAAGCUAGUUUCAUUUUCUCUAGAAAUUGCAUGAGUAAAAUCAAUUUCAUAAUUAACCCAUUGAGCUGCAAUGCGUCCUACUUAUUCUUUUUUACUUGUCUAAAGCCAGACAAUUUUACUUGUCAAUGGGGAAGCUCUGCAGCUCAUUGGGUUAACCAAAAAAAUCUGACUGUAAUCUCUAGUUAACCCAUUGAGCCGCAAUGUGCCCAACUUACUUUUUUUACUUGUUUAAAGCCAGACAAUAUUACUCGUCAAUUGGGAAGCGCUGCAACUUAAUUAAUGGGUUAAGAAAAUGAAACAUUCUUGAGUGAUAUUUGACUGUUGGUAAUUCAUGCAUUUUUGGAGGAAAAUAUUUUACACAGGGGUAACCCCAAUAUUUACAUGCUAUUUGUCUGAACUAUUUUCCUCAUUCUUUGAACAUGCUAAAAUGAUACAAAAUAAAUUUCAGUAGAAUUCAAGCAUGUCCUCGGGCCCAAGUUGUCAAGACUAUCACCUUAAUUGUUGGUAGCAUAUAUCUGCUUUUAAAGCCCUGGGUUCAAAUGAGUGGAAUUUCAAGAGCAUUCUGACUGGCUUUGUGCAAACAGGUGCAUGGCCUUACCGGUUAGGAUGAGGGCCAGUUAAGGUUAUGGUUGGGUGCAGGCAAGGUUCAUGUAAACUUAUUGUUAGCAAGAGUGUUAUGUGUACAUAAUCAUGUGUCAUGUGUUGGAUUAAUGGCAUUUAAACACUGGGAUCCAGUGUCAAACAAUAACCACAACAAUUAUUAUAUAAAGUAUUUGGUUGUUUUAGUGUAAUAUUAAUUUCUCACAUAAAUUUUUUUUCAGAAAUAAAGCACCAUUGAGCAACUUGUUGGGAAAGAGGAGUCACAAACUGUUGAUGAAUAUAUUUAAUUAACUACAUCCACAUAAAAUACAAUUUUAUUAACAGUAUAUUGAUUUAUGGGUUAUUAGAUUACAUUAUUUUCAUAUUAAUUAAAAAUAAAAUUAAAAAA
rnacentral:lncRNA from 1 species